AGGAGCCGUAUGAGGUGAAAACCUCAUGUACGGUUUUGGAACGGAGAUUUUUUGAAUAGAACGAACGACCGUAAC
rfam:Oryza sativa Indica Group isolate 93-11 chloroplast, complete genome.